AGAUUGAACGCUGGCGGCAUGCCUAACACAUGCAAGUCGAACGGGAGUAGCAAUACUCUAGUGGCGGACGGGUGAGGAAUACGUAGGAAUUUGCCCUUAAGUGGGGGAUAACCCGGGAAACCCGGAUUAAUACCGCAUGACCUCGAAAGAGCAAAGUGGGGGAUCGCAAGGACCUCACGCUUUUGGAGAAGCCUACGUCGGAUUAGCUAGUUGGUGAGGUAAUGGCUCACCAAGGCGACGAUCCGUAACUGGUCUGAGAGGAUGAUCAGUCACACCGGAACUGAGACACGGUCCGGACUCCGUACGGGAGGCAGCAGGUGGGGAAUAGUUGGACAA
rnacentral:rRNA from 1 species